UGGGGAAUAUUGCACAAUGGCCGCAAGCCUGAUGCAGCCAUGCCGCGUGUAUGAAGAAGGCCUUCGGGUUGUAAAGUACUUUCAGCGGGGAGGAAGGGAGUAAAGUUAAUACCUUUGCUCAUUGACGUUACCCGCAGAAGAAGCACCGGCUAACUCCGUGCCAGCAGCCGCGGUAAUACGGAGGGUGCAAGCGUUAAUCGGAAUUACUGGGCGUAAAGCGCACGCAGGCGGUUUGUUAAGUCAGAUGUGAAAUCCCCGGGCUCAACCUGGGAACUGCAUCUGAUACUGGCAAGCUUGAGUCUCGUAGAGGGGGGUAGAAUUCCAGGUGUAGCGGUGAAAUGCGUAGAGAUCUGGAGGAAUACCGGUGGCGAAGGCGGCCCCCUGGACGAAGACUAACGCUCAGGUGCGAAAGCGUGGGGAGCAAACAGG
rnacentral:rRNA from 1 species